rfam:Candida tanzawaensis NRRL Y-17324 unplaced genomic scaffold CANTAscaffold_7, whole genome shotgun sequence.
GGGCGUGUGGUCUAGUGGUAUGAUUCUCGCUUUGGGUGUUGUCGUGGAAACACGCAAAUACAAAUAUGCGAGAGGCCCUGGGUUCAAUUCCCAGCUCGCCCC